rnacentral:rRNA from 1 species
GACGAACGCUGGCGGCGUGCUUAACACAUGCAAGUCGAACGGAAAGGCCCUGCUUGCAGGGUACUCGAGUGGCGAACGGGUGAGUAACACGUGGGUGAUCUGCCCUGCACUUCGGGAUAAGCCUGGGAAACUGGGUCUAAUACCGGAUAGGAGCCAUUUUUAGUGUGAUGGUUGGAAAGUUUUUUCGGUGUAGGAUGAGCUCGCGGCCUAUCAGCUUGUUGGUGGGGUAAUGGCCUACCAAGGCGGCGACGGGUAGCCGGCCUGAGAGGGUGGACGGCCACAUUGGGACUGAGGUACGGCCCAGACUCCUACGGGAGGCAACAGUGGGGAAUAUUGCACAAUGGGCGCAAGCCUGAUGCAGCGACGCCGCGUGGGGGAUGACGGCCUUCGGGUUGUAAACUCCUUUCGCUAGGGACGAAGCUUUUUGUGACGGUACCUAGAUAAGAAGCACCGGCUAACUACGUG